rnacentral:rRNA from 1 species
UACGGGGGGAGCAAGCGUUGUUCGGAUUUACUGGGCGUAAAGGGCGCGUAGGCGGCCACCGCAAGUCAAUUGUGAAAUCCCACAGCUCAACUGUGGAACUGCCUUUGAAACUGCGUUGCUAGAGUGUCGGAGGGGAUGGCGGAAUUCCUAAUGUAGAGGUGAAAUUCGUAGAUAUUAGGAGGAACACCGGUGGCGAAGGCGGCCAUCUGGACGACAACUGACGCUGAGGCGCGAAAGCGUGGGGAGCAAACAGG